ensembl:lncRNA
UAGGCCUCUAUCUCAAGGCCAUGAUGGAAAAGCUAAUACUAGUACCUAAAACCAAACAGUAAGAUCAUAACGGAUAAACGAGAAUACCGGCGAUACAAACCAAAACCAACAACUAAUGAUUUCUUACCUCACUUAGGCCUAACAGUUGGAAGAAACGUGGGAUGCAUGGAUGGUUUGACGACAGCUUGUAUUUUAACAUUUUUAAAACAUGCCUUUUUAUCGUGGUCAAACAUGCUCAGUUUCCUUCAAUUGUCAUCCAAAGGAACUGAAACUGCAUUUUUUUCUCCUGAACAGGUCAUUCCAAAACCAUAUAAAUGUGCUUACUAUUUUCCAUCGACUAGCAUAGCCUGGCUAGCUGGUAAAACUAGCACUCUUUUUCCGGACAAAGAAAACCGAGAGUUGCGGUUUGACUUGUUGUAAUUGACAAUCCAAGCUCUAAUCACAAAAACCCUGGAGAUAGACAGGUGCUGUAUUGUUCUGAAAAUAACCGAACCGGCCCAGAUAUGUCAUCCGGAGGGGUGUUGAAAGGACAGUGCGCGUUAGAGAGAUAAACAAACGCCAACAUUCAUCAAGUUCAAUUACGUGGAAAAGACGUCAAACUUAGACAAACGAGACAAGCAGUCAGAGCUCCGCAGACAUCCAUCAGAUCGCCUUUCUUCUCAUACAUCAAAGAACGAAAGUAGCAUAAUGCUGCCAUCUACAGGCGUAUAAAGUACUGAUUCUUGAACGUGAAAGGCUCGAGAACCGAAGGUAUUGAAGCUAUACGGCCGCAAGAGACGCAGGGACGAGAGAAGAGAACAAGCAAACAAAAAAAUAAAACAAUAACAACGAUACUUUUGGAAAGUUGGGGAUCAAAACACCAGCCGAGAGAGACAAAACAGGAGAGGGGAGGAAGAGAGGCAUCUGACAUGCGGUGACAGAUCGACAGACAAGCCGAGCCUGUCAGAGAGGUGCUCUUAGGGAACUUGAAACGAGGGCAUGAUUAGGAUCGGAGCAAAAGGAUCGGAGGACAGCAGCUCGCUAGGCACACGCUGUCUGGGUUUGUAAAGACUUGCAUAGCUUCAGCCCCGUCGCUGUGCUUCCCGUUUGCCUGCACUCGUGCAGGUGUACACAAUAACCUGCAUGACUUUUGGCACAGCUGCAUACUCGCAUGUGCCCACACACAUGCACUUUGCCAUGCAUAUGAAUUCCAACGUACCUGCAUUUGCUGCCCUGACAUGCUCACAAUGUGUGUGACUGUAUGUGUGUGUGUGUGUGUGUGUGUGUGUGUGUGUGUGUGUGUGUGUGUGUGUGUGUGUG